rnacentral:rRNA from 1 species
CAAUACUCAAACGACUCUSGGCAACGGAUAUCUCGGCUCUUGCAUCGAUGAAGAACGUAGCGAAAUGCGAUACUUGGUGUGAAUUGCAGAAUCCCGUGAACCAUCGAGUUUUUGAACGCAAGUUGCGCCCGAUGCCAUUAGGUUGAGGGCACGUCUGCCUGGGCGUCACACACA